CACCAGCAGCAGAAGCUCCCAAGAUGACCAAUACUGUUUCUUGCUGGGAAGAAGGAUAGAAAAAUAAUACAUGCCAAAAGAAAUUUGAGGAACAAAUUCAGAGCAAGAACCCAGCAGAGUCGAGUUUCAAUGGGAGCAGGAUAGAGAAGAGGUUGAGAAAAAUGCAACAGAAGAGACUGCACGGCUUCUGAGGUUGCAGCUUUUGGGAGAAGCCAUCUACCAUUGAUGACAGACAUGCCGUGUGGAAACCAAACCAGCCAUGUGGAGAGGCUACCUGGACAGAGGCACAGGGCCAGCACCAGCUGUGGAGACAGACAUGUGAGCAAAGAAAUCAUCUUUGAUGUACACCCAAGUUGAGCCUUCAGAUGACUCUGAUUUCAGCCACCUUCGGACUGCAACCACAUGAAAGGCUCUAAAUAGAAGCCUCCCAGCUGAUCCCGGUUAACCCACAGUGCUGAAGGGGAUAAUAAUAAAUUGUUGUUUU